GUCUAUGGCCAUGACACCCUGAAUAAGCCCGAUCCUGUUUGAUUUCAAAAGCUAAGCAGGAUCGGGCCUGGUAAGUAUGUGGAUGGGAGACCACCUAGGAAGACCAGGUGUCGUAGGUA
rnacentral:rRNA from 1 species